UGUCUAAGCUUGAAACCCUAAAGGCUCCCUCUUCUUCUUCGUCUUCGGCUGUCUCUACGCUUGCUCCUCCAUCCGCCUGAAUAGUCGCCGUUGGGGUUAAUCGCUAGUUUUUGGUCAUGUCUUGCCUACAACUCUUUCCAUUUCUCCGCAUUGGCUCUUUAUUUGGUCAGAUUUUCAUCGAUUCGACUUUGAAAUUGUUCUUUAUUUCUUUUCUUGAUUCAUUUCGAUCUUUUAUAACUCUUAGCAAUUUUUUUGGAAUUAAAAAGAAUGGUCUCCAUCUCUACAAGAACUAUUUUCUGUCUUUAGUUUUGUGACAUCCCUAAAUUUUGAUAUCUCAGUUGUUUAUCAAUCGCAGGGAGCUUGUGCCUUGUAGAUGUAGAGAAGUCCCGCAAGCCGGUUGCCUCUUCUGACAUGCCUGCUCUUCCUGGUACUUUCAUUUCCUUUGUGAGUGUGUAUAAAUGGAAAUGUUUGACAUUUGUGGAAACAUUUAUUUGGAUUUUCAUUUUGUAUUAGAGGAAAUAUUUAACGGGCCAUCGAUUUUAGUGUUGAAAUUUGAAGAUUUUGGCUACUGCAAAUGUCUGAUUUUGGCUUGGUUAGUGAUGUUGGAUAUAGAUUCUUUUGUUUAUUUAAGUGGUUGGAAUUACAGUUUCAUUGAAAUGUGAAGUUUAAAAUUUGUUUAGGGGUUUAAUUAUAUAUAUGCUGGAUCACUAACUACAUAAUCAAAUGCUUUAAUAUUUCAAAACAAAUGACCACUGGCCUUUAAAUUGUCAUUGAUCAAGAUGAGUUCCCUGAUCUAUUAUUCUUCCCUUUGUACAUAAGCAGCAAUGCAAUCUCCCCACUUAACUAGUUUGUGAUUGAUUAUUGAUUGUAUUCCUUUCAGUAACCUUAUGAAUUUUUCUGCCUUACUUAGAAGAAAAAAGUGUAUACUCUUUGAUAAAUUAAAUGCUAAUCUCUCAACACUGAAGUUGGUAGAGAGCAACUUAGGAUAAUGAAAAAAAAUUGCAGGUAGCAAUGAUUAUUGAGGUGUAUAGAUGUCUUGCAUGCAAAUAUGUUGCCAGGCGAGAUGUUGACUAAUAUGUUUCUCAAGGAAAGCAGUUCACUAAACUGGGUUUUAGAUCAGGUAGCUUGAUAAAAGGAGUGUGGGGAAACAUGAGCAGAUCUUAUGUAUUUUUUUGCAUUAAUGGCAUCAAUUUGUAAUUUUCACUUUCAACCAUCUUCUGAGAUGGGGAGCUUGAGGUCUGGACUAAUACAACAAUUGUUCAUAUUGAAAUCCUAAACAUAUGCACAUGAAAUUUACUGUUAUCUGUGCAUCUUUCAUCCCUUCCAGAAGGUCAUUUAAAGAAGUUUGUUUGAUGAAAUUGGGGAUUGUAAAAGAUUAAUGCAGCUGAAUAUGCUAUUGAGAAUAAUCAAUAUUCUAUGUACUUCGGCUUUUACAAAUUUAACUUGG
rnacentral:lncRNA from 1 species